AUUAGGCACCCAGGGGCCCAUGGUCACAUUAGAAGUUAAAGGCAGCAGGAUUCUGCCGUAUCUGGAUUCCAAUUUCUCACUGAUGGCUAAGCCACUAGAUGGAGUUACAAAAGGGGAAGAAAAAGAACCCCUCCUCUGGGAAACAGCAGGAGAAGGAGCCCUGCCUGGUGAAAACUUGCUUAUAGACUUCACAGAACCUCCCCGUGCCGGAGGUUAUUGGUUCAUGCUAGUGCUUGUUUGCACCUUUUCAGGGUGUUAUGUCUUGGAUCCACCACAGUCGGCUAACACUGGCAGCUCAGGACAAGUGAACCAGCCAGCAGGACCCAGAUCAUCCAACCUGGCUGAUCCUUAGAUGAGACCGAGCUGCUGCUGAGGACAACAGCCCUGCUCUAGUCACUCUGGAGGCUGACUAGUCUACGCACGGCUGAAACUUGAGGACUUGUCAAGCAAGUAAUGUAGCUAAAAUCUUAAGACUAGUGGUUUUCCUGUACACUAACUGUUUUACUAUUGUUCUGUCGCUGUGCUCAACCUUUUUCCCAGGUAAGGACCUUUUUUGUCCUUGCUGGAUAUGAAUAUGCUGUACAUUGUUUUGUUGUUACCCCCCUUAACCAUGUAGAAGAAACACCUACAGAAGGUGUCCCCACUGUACACAUACUACUUGGUCAGGGAACAGUAUAACUAGAACCCUAUUGCACUAUACUUAUUAUGAGUAUACGGGGACUCGCUUAGGAACUUGUACUUAUAAUCAAACCACCUAUUCAACCUGUGACCCAGGAAAUGGCCAGCCUUAUAUAUGCUAUGACCCUAAGUGUUUACCUGGGACUUGGUUUGAGAUUCAUACCGAGUCAAAGGGAGGAAGUUUUAUAAGUCGAACCCAAGCCUCUCUUCCCGGGGGCGGGGGGUGGGGUGGCUAUAUCCAUAUACUUUGAUAUUUGUCAGUUAACAUCCGUGAACCAGAGAUUGUGAACUAUCUCACAAUCUCUGGUCCUACAGGGUACUAUACAAACUGCCAGUACAAAAUUGCAUGUGCACCCCGUUUGCCCCUCCGAGGCCCUAGCGAUAGCUUGCUGGAACCGCACAAUGCAGUUCACUGACCGAUCAUCACCGAGGCUAAAGCCAAUCUUGCUCAUCAAAGUGCCAGCAAAACCGGAUUGUAAGACAAGCACUUGCAAUCCUGUAAAUCUUACUAUCUUAAAGCCAGAUCUACCUAUAUAGACUGCAGGUUACUCCAUGGCAUUACAAAGCUACAGUCAAAAAGCUAAAAUAACUUUGUAUAUUCUAAAGAGGACUCAAACCAAGCGGUCAGCUCAGCAGCAAUUCCGAGUCUUUAAGUCACUCUUUGAGCAUAUAAACCAAAAGUUACCAGAGCCUCCUCCUUUAGCCAAAAACCUAUUUGCUCAGCUGGCUAAAAACAUUGCAUGCAGCCUAGGCAUUUCCUCGUUAUGUUUGUAGAAGGACUAACAUGGGAGACAAAUAGCCUCAGGAAGCAAAAGAGUUAAUGCCUCAAGAUAACUUUACUCUGACUCUCUCUUUCCCCAGACACGCACAAGUUCAAGCGUCUAGCUCUUAAAAACUUCUAUUAUUAGCAGAUACUGUGUUGCUCCCUAGGGAAAAGUUUUUACAGACCCAGUAGGAGAGCUAACCUGCUUAAGACAGCAAUAUUAUAAUGAAACGUUAAGGAAAACUUUGUGGCAGGGCAGAGAUGACUACAAAGCACCUCAUCCAAAUCUGUUCUCCUGUUUCUCUUCUCUAAACCACACUUGGUAUCAACUUGAAGCUCCAAAUACUUGGCAAGCACCCCCCGUCUUUAUUGGAUCUGUAGGCUACAGGCAUAUUGACAGUUGCCAGUUAAAUGGACAGAGGUGUGCUUAGAACGAUUAGACCAUCUUUCUUCCUACUCCCACUGCAACAGGGAAAAACUUCAAGGUACCCUGUCUAUGACGAAGUUAGAAGAAGAAACAAAAGAGAUGCAGACACAAAGAGGUAUAAAAAUAAGAGAUUGAAAAGGCACAGAUUAGCCCCCUGAAAAAAUAAUUCAAUAUUAUAGGCCAGCUACCUGGGCACAAGAUAGGUCAUAGGGAUACCGCACUCCUAUCUACAUGCUUAACCGUAUCAUAAGAUUGCAGGCAGUACUUGAAAUCAUCACUAAUGAAACAACAAAUGCAUUAGAUGUACUGGCCCAGCAAACCACAACAUUGAGAAACGCUACCUAUCAGAACAGAUUAGCUUUAGACUACCUCCUAGCCCAGGAAGGAGGAGUAUGUGGAAAGUUCAAUCUAACUAAUUGUUGCCUGGACAUCGAUGACGGCGGAAAAGCAAUUAUAGAAAUAACUGCAAGAAUGAGAAAAUUAGCCAGUGUUCCAGUUCAAACUUAGAAAAGGUGAUCCCCAGAUUCUCUCUUUGGAGACUGGUUUUCAUUUUUCGGAGAGUUCAAGACUUUAAUAGGAGUAGUGCUGGCCACACUAGGAAGCUGCAUAAUACUCCAUUGUCUCUUACCUUUCCUUGUUAGAAGUAUUCAAUCAACUAUAGAGGCAACAGUAGCCAGGCAAACUACAACUCAGCUAAUAGCUCUGCGUAAAUAUCAACCUUUGUCUAAAUAAGAAAACUUGUCUCUUCAGGCAGAACUAAGUAAUAGUGAUGCCUUUUAUUAAACUUAUUUCAUAAAAGGCAUCAAAGGGGAGAAACUGAGGCAGAAAUUUAAAUAAUAAUAAUAAUAAUAAAUACUGCAUUUAUUCACGCCAAGAAAAGUAAAAGCUAAGGCCCAGAAUAUGGCAAGGCAAAGGCUAAAAAGAAAAGAACAAGUUUUCCUCUUGCCUAGCAGCUCACUUUAAGGACAGUUAGAAGAUAACGCUGUCCGAAUAGCCAAGGCCAAAGGAAUGGGCUCCAGACACCCCCCUCCCUUCCAGAGCAAGCUUGAAAGAAAAAAGAGAAAGACAAGUUCUUCUACUGUUAUUCUUUUCUCAGGCUUCUUAAGCAUGAUUAGCAUGAUUAUGUUUUACAAAUGUCUGUAUUUAGCCAGUUCUUAUUUUUCUUUUAAUGCAGCUACAAGGCCACUGGCUAGGACACAAAUUAUGUUAUGCUAUAGAUUACGUGACCUGUUACUGUAUGAGUAACUGCUUUUAUUUUGCUACUGUUUUUAUUUUGCUUCUGUAAGACCGCUUAUAAAAACCCUGCUCUUUGUUCAGGGCUCAGCUUUCGGAUGUGAAUCCUCUGAGCCGGUGCGUACCUAAAAUAAACAAAUCCUCCUGU
rnacentral:lncRNA from 1 species